GUAGUUGAUGGACAAUCAGUUAAUAUUCUGAUACCACUUUUAUUUUCGAUGGGGUGACGGAGUAGUGAAAGCACCGCGUACUGACGGAAUAGUACGUUAAAGAGUGUAGGUAUAAGUUUUGUAGGUAAAUCCGCAAGACUUGCCGAACUUGAUAGUACCACAAUCCUACGGGAGCGUGGAUAGUGUGCCUAAACAGACUUCCAAGAAAAACCUCUAAGGUAAGGAUAAAAGUGCCUGUACCGCAAACCGACACAGGUAGUCAAGGAGAGAAUCCUGAGGUGCUCGAGUGAUUCAUGGCUAAGGAACUAGGCAAAAUCGCCCUGUAACUUCGGGAGAAGGGGCGCCCCCACUUGUGGGGGCCGCAGUGAAAAGGCCCAGGCGACUGUUUAUCAAAAACACAG
rnacentral:rRNA from 1 species